AGCGGCGGACGGGUGAGUAACACGUGGGUAACCUGCCUCAUAGAGGGGAAUAGCCUUCCGAAAGGAAGAUUAAUACCGCAUAAGAUUGUAGUUUCGCAUGAAACAGCAAUUAAAGGAGUAAUCCGCUAUGAGAUGGACCCGCGUCGCAUUAGCUAGUUGGUGAGGUAACGGCUCACCAAGGCGACGAUGCGUAGCCGACCUGAGAGGGUGAUCGGCCACAUUGGGACUGAGACACGGCCCAGACUCCUACGGGAGGCAGCAGUGGGGAAUAUUGCACAAUGGGGGAAACCCUGAUGCAGCAACGCCCGCGUGAGUGAUGACGGUCUUCGGAUUGUAAAGCUCUGUCUUCAGGGACGAUAAUGACGGUACCUGAGGAGGAAGCCACGGCUAACUACGUGCCAGCAGCUGC
rnacentral:rRNA from 1 species